GAUGAAGAACGUAGCGAAAUGCGAUACUUGGUGUGAAUUGCAGAAUCCCGUGAACCAUCGAGUCUUUGAACGCAAGUUGCGCCUCAAGCCAUUAGGUUGAGGGCACGUCUGCCUGGGCGUCACAUAUCGUUGCCUGAUGCCAGUUUCCUCGUGUUGGGUGACUGUGCAGGGCGAAUGAUGGCUUCCCGUGAGCAUUGUUGCCUCAUGGUUGGUUGAAAAUUGAGUCCUUGGUAGGGAGCGCCGUGAUAGAUGGUGGUUGAGUGUCGAACGAGACCCAAUCAUGUGAGACCCCUACCGAAUUUGGCCUUCAUGACCCACAUGCGUCUUUGGAACGCUCAUGACGAGACCUCAGGUCAGGCGGGGCUACCCGCUGAGUUUAAGCAUAUCAAUAAGCGGAGGA
rnacentral:misc_RNA from 1 species